CAGUAGGGAAUAUUGGACAAUGGGGGCAAGCGUGAUACAGCAAUGCCGCGUGAGUGAUGAAGGCCUUAGGGUUGUAAAGCUCUYUUACCCGAGAUGAUAAUGACRGUAUCKGKAGAAUAAGCUCCGGCUARCUCCGUGCCAGCAGCCGCGGUAAUACGGAGGGWGCUAGCGUUGUUCGGAAUUACUGGGCGUAAAGCGCACGUAGGCGGCKAUUUAAGUCAGAGGUGAAAGCCCGGGGCUCAACCCCGGAACUGCCUUUGAGACUGGMUUGCUAGAAUCUUGGAGAGGCRAGUGGAAUUCCGAGUGUAKAGGUGAAAUUCGUAGAUAUUCGGAAGAACRCCAGUGGCGAAGGCGGCUCGCUGGACAAGUAUUGACGCUGAUGUGCGAAAGCGUGGGGAGCAAACAGGAUUAGAUACCCUGGUAGUCCACGCCGUAAACGAUGAURACUAGCUGCUGGGGCACAUGRYGUUUCGGUGGCGCAGCUAACGCAUUAAGUUAUCCGCCUGGGGAAUACGGUCCCCAGAUUAAAACUCAAUGAAUUGACGGG
rnacentral:rRNA from 1 species